rnacentral:tRNA from 1 species
GUGGGUAUAGCUUAGUGGUAGAGUGCAUGCUUAGCAUGCACGAGGUCUUGGGUUCAAUCCCCAGUACCUUCA